CCUACGGGAGACAGCAGUGAGGAAUAUUGGUCAAUGGCCGGAAGGCUGAACCAGCCAUGCCGCGUGAAGGUCAGUGCCCUAUGGGCGUUAAACUUCUUUUGUGCGGGAGCAAUACUGGUCACGUGUGGCCAGACGAGAGUACCGUACGAAUAAGCAUCGGCUAACUCCGUGCCAGCAGCCGCGGUAAUACGGGGGAUGCAAGCGUUAUCCGGAUUUAUUGGGUUUAAAGGGUGCGUAGGCUGUGAGGUAAGUCAGCGGUGAAAUGCCCCCGCUCAACGGGGUGAAGUGCCAUUGAUACUGCCUGGCUGGAAUGCGGAUGCCGUGGGAGGAAUGUGUGGUGUAGCGGUGAAAUGCAUAGAUAUCACACAGAACACCGAUUGCGAAGGCAUCUCACGAAGCCGCGAUUGACGCUGAUGCACGAAAGCGUGGGUAUCAAACAGGAUUAGAUACCCCAGUAGUC
rnacentral:rRNA from 1 species